GACAGAGGGUGCAAACGUUGUUCGGAAUUACUGGGCGUAAAGCGCGUGUAGGCGGCUUGGCAAGUCGGGUGUGAAAGCCCUGGGCUUAACCUAGGAAGUGCACUCGAAACUGCCGAGCUUGAGUUCUGGAGAGGAAGACGGAAUUCUCGGUGUAGAGGUGAAAUUCGUAGAUAUCGAGAGGAACACCGGUGGCGAAGGCGGCCUUCUGGACAGCAACUGACGCUGAGACGCGAAAGCGUGGGGAGCAAACAGG
rnacentral:rRNA from 1 species